rnacentral:misc_RNA from 1 species
AACGCACAUUGCGCCCUUUGGCAUUCCGAAGGGCAUGCCUGUCCGAGCGUCAUUACAACCACUCAAGCGCUCGCUUGGCCUUGGGGCACCCGGCGUCGGGGCCCUCAAAACCAGCGGCGGUGCUCGUCAGCUCUACGCGUAGUAAUACUCCUCGCGUCUGACCCUGGCGAGCCACCGGCCGGCAACCCCCCACACUCCUCAGGUUGACCUCGGAUCAGGUAGGGAUACCCGCUGAACUUAA